rnacentral:rRNA from 1 species
GACGUAGGGCGCAAGCGUUGUCCGGAAUUAUUGGGCGUAAAGAGCUCGUAGGCGGCUUGUCACGUCGGGUGUGAAAGCCCGGGGCUUAACCCCGGGUCUGCAUUCGAUACGGGCUAGCUAGAGUGUGGUAGGGGGAGAUCGGAAUUCCUGGUGUAGCGGUGAAAUGCGCAGAUAUCAGGAGGAACACCGGUGGCGAAGGCGGAUCUCUGGGCCAUUACUGACGCUGAGGAGCGAAAGCGUGGGGAGCGAACAGG